UACAGAGGUCUCAAGCGUUGUUCGGAUUCAUUGGGCGUAAAGGGUGCGUAGGCGGCGCGGUAAGUCGGGUGUGAAAUCUCGGAGCUUAACUCCGAAACUGCAUUCGAUACUGCCGUGCUUGAGGACUGGAGAGGAGACUGGAAUUUACGGUGUAGCGGUGAAAUGCGUAGAUAUCGUAAGGAAGACCAGUGGCGAAGGCGGGUCUCUGGACAGUUCCUGACGCUGAGGCACGAAGGCCAGGGGAGCAAACGGA
rnacentral:rRNA from 1 species